rnacentral:rRNA from 1 species
CCCUUAGAUGUUCUGGGCCGCACGCGCGCUACACUGAUGCAUUCAACGAGUCUAAAACCUGCUCUGAUAGGGGUGGGUAAUCUUUUGAAUGUGCAUCGUGAUUGGGAUAGAUGAUUGCAAUUUUUCAUCUUCAACGAGGAAUGCCUAGUAAACGCAAGUCAUCAGCUUGCAUUGAUUACGUCCCUGCCCUUUGUUCACACCGCCCGUCGCUCCUACCGAUUGAAUGAUCCGAUGAAUAUCAUGGAUUGAGGAUGCAAGUAGGUUCGCCUAUCUUCAUCUUCGAGAAGUGAAGUAAAUCUUAUCAUUUAGAGGAAGGAGAAGUCGUAACA